rnacentral:rRNA from 1 species
GAUGAACGCUGGCGGCGUGCUUAACACAUGCAAGUCGAACGAAGCACUUUAUUUGAUUUCCUUCGGGACUGAUUAUUUUGUGACUGAGUGGCGGACGGGUGAGUAACGCGUGGGUAACCUGCCUUGUACAGGGGGAUAACAGUUGGAAACGGCUGCUAAUACCGCAUAAGCGCACAGCAUUGCAUGAUGCAGUGUGAAAAACUCCGGUGGUAUAAGAUGGACCCGCGUUGGAUUAGCUAGUUGGUGAGGUAACGGCCCACCAAGGCGACGAUCCAUAGCCGACCUGAGAGGGUGACCGGCCACAUUGGGACUGAGACACGGCCGAAACUCCUACGGGAGGCAGCAGUGGGGAAUAUUGCACAAUGGGCGUAAGCCUGAUGCAGCGACGCCGCGUGAGCGAAGAAGUAUUUCGGUAUGUAAAGCUCUAUCAGCAGGGAAGAUAAUGACGGUACCUGACUAAGAAGCACCGGCUAAAUACGUG